AAUAUACUCCUACCGUCCGAAAAAGCUUGUCCCAAGCUUGUUUCUCAAAUGGAUGUAUCUAGCACUAACUUGGUGCUAGAUACAUUCAUUUGAGUGACAAGCUUUUUCAGACAGAGGGAGUACAAA
rfam:Triticum aestivum genome assembly, contig: Triticum_aestivum_CS42_TGACv1_scaffold_094739_2AL